CAGGUUCCAUAAUAAUUAAUUAUACCUAUUUUGUCACAUUGUUCCUUCAUUUACAACCAUUUCUUUCAAUGCCAAAUAUCAAUCAGUAGAACUUCCUGUCACAUAUACUUAACUUAUAUCUAUACAUUCGGAUAUUAUUCGUAAUUAUGUAUGUUUCCAUACACACCACCAAUAUUUCGCUUCUAUAGUGACGUAGUAGGUAUAUGAAUUUUAUAUCUUCUCUGCAUGAACUCUCUUUCUCUCAUUGUCAAAAAGAUACACCCAACCAAGUGUUUUUUUUUUUUUUCUUUUUUUCAACAAGUAAAGAUAUAAAAUCCUGAAUAUUAAAACUGAACCCAAACGUUUUCUUCACAAAAAAAAGUAUCUUUAACAAGAAAAAAAAAAAAAAAGAUGGAAUAAAUUCUUUGUUUAAAUUAUACUUUCAUACAAAAAGAUACUUUAUCUACAUUCAUGAAGAUUGAGUGGAAACAAAAAAACUCACUCAACUUCACCAACACCAAGUGUUAAAGUAUUGAAGAUUCUGGGAUAAAAAGAUACGUUCCACAACUCAAUAGUUUGUAUAGUUUGCUAUUCGAUUUUAUAUCUUUAAUCUAAAUCCAACUCCAUCCACACCAAGCAAAUGAACCAAUCAACCCCACUCGAAAUACUCGACACUCAAGAGACCAAGACCAAAACCAAGAGUCCCAUACCCAUCAACCAGCCCGCACUAUCACACGCAUAGAAAGUCGACAAUAUGACGACUUUUGUAGUAGCUUAGCUAGUAGCGGUUUUUUGAAAUUUCUGUUUUGUUGUUGAUUUUAUACAAAAAGAUACCGAGAUACUCUACUGUACUUUAUGUUGUGUAUAAUUUUAUGGACUGCAUGUUGUUCAAACGACAAUAGUGUAUUUGUGACCGACAACGACAGCCACUUAACAAAAAAAAAAUCAGAAAAAAAGAACUCAAAGGCACGUUAUUCUUGUUGGUUUUGGUUGAAUGCCUGGCCGGCUUUAGUUGCUGCUGCUGAUUUUCAACUUCUCUCUACUCUACAAUACUUCGGGCGUUUUUCAUAGGGUUUUUUUCGCUCUCUCUCUCUCUCUUUUUUCUCUCUCAUUUCUUUUUGGUUUUCAUUUUCAUCACUUAUUUCAUUUUGUUCAAAAUGGAUUUAUACACACAUUGACAUUAUUUCUGAGAUACGGAUACGUGUUUAGUUCAUAGCAUAGUUAAACUGCUCAAACUUGGAUCGUUGCAUUUAAGUUUGAAUUUGGACGUUCAAGGGUGCGGAUUGACUUUUAAGUUUUUUCGUUUAAAAAAAAAAGAUAUCCUGAGACUUGACAAAAAAAGUUCGAAAGAGUGAAAAAUUAGAGAAGAAAUAUAAAGUAAACCCUUUUUUUUUAUCUAGAUUUUGGAUAAUUAUUGUGCUGCUGUUGUGCUAUCUACAUUUAAUUGUAUUUGUUGUUUAAACAAUUAAGUUGUCUGCAAAAUAGCUAUACACAUAUAUUUGGAUAAAAUAAUCCUAUGGGAUAUAAAUAAUAAAUAUACAAAGAAUUCUAUCUUGAAAAAAGGUAA